rnacentral:rRNA from 1 species
GACGAACGCUGGCGGCGUGCUUAACACAUGCAAGUCGAACGGAAAGGCCCUGCUUUUGUGGGGUGCUCGAGUGGCGAACGGGUGAGUAACACGUGAGUAACCUGCCCUGGACUUUGGGAUAACUUCAGGAAACUGGUGCUAAUACCGGAUAGGAGCUCCUGCUGCAUGGUGGGGGUUGGAAAGUUUCGGCGGUUGGGGAUGGACUCGCGGCUUAUCAGCUUGUUGGUGGGGUAGUGGCUUACCAAGGCUUUGACGGGUAGCCGGCCUGAGAGGGUGACCGGCCACAUUGGGACUGAGAUACGGCCCAGACUCCUACGGGAGGCAGCAGUGGGGAAUAUUGCACAAUGGGCGGAAGCCUGAUGCAGCAACGCCGCGUGCGGGAUGACGGCCUUCGGGUUGUAAACCGCUUUCGCCUGUGACGAAGCGUGAGUGACGGUAAUGGGUAAAGAAGCACCGGCUAACUACGUG